GUUUAGUAGGCAGGUAGACUGUAAUAGCGACGAUCGAGCGUGGUUUAUGCAGUCGCGGAUGUAAAUACAACAUCCCUCCUUCCUGUGCGCGUCCAUUCGCCACGCGAGACAUGCCGCUUCGAGGAUUGCGAUAACAUGGCAUCGUUCGAAGAGUUGGAUGAGAUCGCGCCGAGUUUCGCAUAUGCCGCCGACAAGCUGGAAUGGAUCCCGCUCUCUCUGACAUUGGUGGAGUAUCCGCAAGGGGAUCUCUUUGGAAAGCUGUUAGCUGCAUUAAGUCUAUUACCCUUUGCUAUUGUAGCUGGUUUUAUCACAUUAAUACUAUUUAGGAGAGAUUUACAUACUAUUGUAUUUUUUAGCGGAAUUAUUAUCAAUGAGUGUAUAAAUUUUGUAUUGAAACACACGAUUUGCGAAGAGAGGCCGAUAAAGAGAGAUGGCCUGUAUACCGAAUAUGGUAUGCCAUCUACACAUGCACAAUUUAUGUGGUUCUUUGCUGCAUAUGCGACACUUUUUAUAUAUUUUAGGUUAAACUACAACUGUACAAUAGCUGAGAGAUUUUGGCGGACAAUAGUAGCAGUAGGAUGCAUUACCACAGCCAUAUUGGUAACUUACAGCAGAGUAUAUCUACAGUAUCACUCAAAUAGCCAAGUAUUCUUUGGUGUAUUAAUUGGAGUUGCACUGGGAACAGCAUGGUUCAUGAUCGUGCAUACGGUUUUAACGCCAUUCUUUCCUAUAGUGGUUUCGUGGCGAAUGUCGGAGUACCUGCUGUUACGCGACACAACUUUAAUUCCUAACGUUUUGUGGUUCGAGUACACGAGUAUUCGCACGGAAGCCCGAGCGCGGGCGCGAAAGCUAUCGGCAAUCGGCAGAUCGCACUGAUAAUGGCUGGUCAGUGGGCUGGAUAUUGAAUAAUAAAUGCCUUGAUAACAAACAACUUAAGAAAACAUUCCUUUAAUUGAUAAAGUUUGAAAAAAUUAGCUCGACAACGCGUAUGGAAUAAAUAAUUAAGUUAAGAUUAAAAUGUUAAUGAGGAAUGCACGCGUUUUUCCUUCUAUAAUUAAUUCGGUUAAAUCAAGAUUCAAAAUUGAAAACACAACAAUUAGUUAACAGUGAGUAGCCGCAGUGAAAAAAAUCAAGUUUUUCGACAAUAUAAGUUUACUCGACAAAUACGCUGGAGAAUGAAUUAUCGUAAAGCUUUGACAGAUUUUUGACAAAUUUUUCCAGAGUAUUUGUCAAAAUUUCAAAUCCAAAAAUUCAUGUUUAGUACAUGUUUAUAUACAUUGUAUGAGAUAUUUAUUUUCCAAGAAUAAUGAAAGUGAUAUUAAUUGACAGUGCAUUUAAUUACAAGCAACUGUUUAGUGGAAUGCAAUAAAGAGCGUCGUGAAAAGUA
rnacentral:misc_RNA from 1 species